GGCUGGUUUGACUGCAGUGGUAUUUUCAAUUAAUUGAUCACAGCCAGUUAGAGAUUUCUUUGUUUUUUUCUCCACUUCCACUCUUUCACUUGACUAGACUUAA
rnacentral:Y_RNA from 1 species